GAUGAACGCUGGCGGCGUGCCUAAUACAUGCAAGUCGAGCGAACGGACGAGAAGCUUGCUUCUCUUAUGUUAGCGGCGGAUGGGUGAGUAACACGUGGAUAACCUACCUAUAAGACUGGGAUAACUUCGGGACACCGGAGCUAAUACCGGAUUAUAUUUUGAACUGCAUGGUUCAAAAGUGAAAGACGGUCUUGCUGUCACUUAUAGAUGGAUCCGCGCUGCAUUAGCUAGUUGGUAAGGUAACGGCUUACCAAGGCAACGAUGCAUAGCCGACCUGAGAGGGUGAUCGGCCACACUGGAACUGAGACACGGUCCAGACUCCGACGGGAGGCAGCAGUAGGGAAUCUUCCGCAAUGGGCGAAAGCCUGACGGAGCAACGCCGCGUGAGUGAUGAAGGUCUUCGGAUCGUAAAACUCUGUUAUUAGGGAAGAACAUAUGUGUAAGUAACUGUGCACAUCUUGACGGUACCUAAUCAGAAAGCCACGGCUAACUACGUG
rnacentral:rRNA from 1 species